CAGCCGUAAACAAUGUGCGUUAGGUGUGUCGGUAACCACGUGUUACUGAUGCGCCGAAGAGAAAUCGUGAGACGCACCACCUGGGAAGUACGGUCGCAAGGCUGAAACUUAAAGGAAUUGGCGGGGGAGCACCACAACAGGUGGAGCCUGCGGUUUAAUUGGAUUCAACGCCGGACAUCUCACCGGAUAAGACAGCUGAAUGAUUGUCGGGCUGAAGACCCUGCAUGACUAGCUGAGAGGAGGUGCAUGGCGUCAGUGACU
rnacentral:rRNA from 1 species